UACGUAGGGUGCAAGCGUUGUCCGGAAUUAUUGGGCGUAAAGAGCUCGUAGGCGGUCAGUCGCGUCUGCUGUGAAAACUCGGGGCUUAACUCCGGGCCUGCAGUGGGUACGGGCUGACUAGAGUGCGGUAGGGGAGACUGGAAUUCCUGGUGUAGCGGUGAAAUGCGCAGAUAUCGGGGGGAAUACCAGUGGCGAAAGCGGCACCCUAGCGUUAGCCUGACGCUCAUGUGCGAAAGCGUGGGGAGCGAACGGG
rnacentral:rRNA from 1 species